rnacentral:rRNA from 1 species
AACGAACGCUGGCGGCAUGCCUAACACAUGCAAGUCGAACGAGACCUUCGUGUCUAUUGGCGCACGGGUGCGUACCGCGUGGGAACCUGCCCUUAGGUUCGGUAUAACUCCCCGAAAGGUGUCCUAAUACCGGUUAAUGUCUUCGGACAAAAGAUGUUUCGCCUUUGGAUGGGCCCGCGUUGGUUUGGCUAGUUGGUAGGGUAAUAGCCUGCCAAGGCGAGGAUCCAUAGCUGGUAUGUGAGGAUGACAAUCUCCACUGGAAAUAAGGCACGGCCUAGCCUGGGACGGAAGGCAGCAGUGGAGAAUAUUGGGCGAUGGGGGAAGGCGUGAUACCGCAAUGCGGCGGGAGAGGUGAAGGGCGUAGGGUUGUACAGCUGUUUGAGCCGGGAUGAGAGUGACAGUACCGGGAGAAGAAGCACCGGCUAACUACGUG